AAACCUACAAAAACCACACUAAACUCAAAAACCUUAAAAACCCCAAAAACUUACAAAUCUCCACAAACACUUUUGCUUCCGUUUAAACAAGUUCUACGUACACAUAAAAAAUAUAUAUACAUAUUUUUUUUUUUUUUUUAAAUAUAAUCCGAUUCGAAAUUCAAAUAGUUUAUUUGCUUUGAUUAAAUAAAGAUGGCUUGCAACCCACAAGCAGCAAAAGCUGCCACCCAGGGAAUCGCUGCCGCACAUGCCAGCAGCAUUGCGUAUGUGCAGUGCCAGAAUCUAAAGUAUAAUGCCAUUAUUAUAGGCUGGCUGGGUGUCAUCAUAUCAAGCGUGAUGAUCUUUAGCUCCAUGAUGAUCAUAAACAUGCAAACCGAUGUCGAAUUGCUGAUUAAACAAGUGCUGCUAAACCAGGUCACAGACAAGGAAAUGCAGCUCCUAAUGAAUCUAUUGGCUGCAUUUAGUACAGUCGCCUAUGGCAUGUCUUUGAUUAACUUGGGCGUCAGCCUGUUGCUGCUCAUUGGUGUGGCUCGGGAUUCGAGCAGCCUGCUGUAUCCCUGGUUGAUAUAUCACGGCGUUGUGUUCGGAUUUGGUCUGUAUAUGGGUAUAUUCUAUGCCAUGGCUGGCCUAUUUAUAGAUCUGUCCAGUUUUUUGAUGUGUUUGCUGGUCUUCGCCCUUGUGCUAGCAGGAAACAGCUUGGACUUUAAUAGCUUUAAUUGACACGAAACAACGAAAUAAAGGGUAUUAAGGAGGUGAAAUGCCCGACAUACCUCACGUGAAACGAAGCAUUCGAUGGGAAAUGUCAGUAAUAUGGAUAUAGAGAAGAGCACACGCGAGAAAUUCAUUAAGUCAUCAUCCCAGCAAUAGUUCUCCAGCAAAUCGCCUGCAAUGAAAUGGGCACAGACAUGAGCACUAAGAAACAGAAAGCAAAGCCAAAAGCAAAGAAUGCUACAGAUUAAAGCUGAUUUACAGCGUUGUAAAAUAUAAUAUAAAAUAGAAGUAACUGGAAAAUGCCAUUAAAUGCGAGCGAAAUUGUCAAUUAGUUUACCCUGCGAGAGGGCGCGGAAUGUCGAGUAGCCCGCAAUGCCGAAGAGCGCCGCCACAGUCCAGGCAAAUCCAAUCGAGAUGUGGGUGACCUUCUCCCAGCGUUCCAUGGUCGCUUCGCGCAUCGAUUGAUAAACGAGAAACGUGUUGUGAUGACACAUGAAAGCUGUGCCAAGUGCAGAAAGAGACGGCAAAAAAAGAAACAGAGAGGGUGUCUGGCAAUCAUCUAGCUGUUAUCCUUGCCGAAGUGCCUGCUGUUGCAUAAGUAAACAUAUAUAUUAUACACAUAAUGCGGCGCUUACUUACCAAACACCAUAAUGCCCGUGGCGGGUAUUAGAUCCGAGUUCGCGAAGCGCCAAGAGUCGGCCGUAUCCGUGCUACGUUCAGCAACAGGCAAAAGGGAUAGAUUUACAAAUGUAAAAUAUGGCCACAAAAAACAAAUGAACCAAGUUGAGGCUUAUAUGUUUCACCAGCGGCAAGCAUUUUGUGGCCAAGAUAAAAGGGGCUGCGGACAGCCAACAACAAUGUGAGACGCGGCACAAAAGUACACAAAUUGGAAAUUUAUUUAAAUUUUAUGCCCCGCUACAACAAGUAGGAAUCGCCGCACAAAGCUCGAGCACACGUUGACCAUGAAAUACGCAGCAGGAGCAACAGCAGCAGCAGCAGCCGUGGGAGCGGGUGUUUGGCUGGCAGCUCGAGUCGACAUCGUCGCCGUUGGCAACACUGUGGCAACUGCUAACGACUCGCCCUCGCAGUUGCCACAAACACAGAUAGGAAGCGGAACAAAGUGCGCGAGCGAGACGGCGUCUGCUGUAUGCAACAGCCACUGCGGCAAACUAAUGAAAAGCCAUAAAAGCCAAACAAGUGGCACACUACAUUUUAUGGCAUUGCGCGCAGUUCAAUGCCGCCGGGUUCGGUGCAAGUCGCCGCAGAUUCAAAGGCACUAAAGCGCCACUUAGCACUAAAGCGAGCAGGACUCAACCUCAAAAAAA